AUUGAACGCUGGCGGCAGGCCUAACACAUGCAAGUCGAACGAGUGGCGGACGGGUGAGUAAUGACUGGGAAACUGCCUGACGGAGGGGGAUAACUACUGGAAAAGGGAGCUAAUAACGCAUACCCUCCGAUGUGCCCAGAUGGGAUUAGCUAGUUGGUGGGUGAACGGCUCACCAAGGCGACGAUCCCUAGCUGGUCUGAGAGGAUGACCAGCCACACUGGAACUGAGACACGGUCCAGACGCGUACGGGAGGCAGCAGUGGGGAAUAUUGCACAAUGGGCGCAAGCCUGAUGCAGCCAUGCCGCGUGUAUGAAGAAGGCCUUCGGGUUGUAAAGUACUUUCAGCGGGGAGGCGUUACCCGCAGAAGAAGCACCGGCUAACUCCGUGCCAGCAGCCGCGGUAAUAC
rnacentral:rRNA from 1 species